AACGAACGCUGGCGGCAUGCCUAACACAUGCAAGACGAACGAGACCUUCGGGUCUAGUGGCGCACGGGUGCGUAACGCGUGGGAACCUGCCCUUAGGUUCGGAAUAACUCCCCGAAAGGGGUGCUAAUACCGGAUAAUGUCUUCGGACCAAAGAUUUAUCGCCUUUGGAUGGGCCCGCGUUGGAUUAGCUAGUUGGUAGGGUAAAAGCCUACCAAGGCGACGAUCCAUAGCUGGUCUGAGAGGAUGAUCAGCCACACUGGGACUGAGACACGGCCCAGACUCCUACGGGAGGCAGCAGUGGGGAAUAUUGGACAAUGGGCGAAAGCCUGAUCCAGCAAUGCCGCGUGAGUGAUGAAGGCCUUAGGGUUGUAAAGCUCUUUUACCCGGGAUGAUAAUGACAGUACCGGGAGAAUAAGCUCCGGCUAACUCCGUG
rnacentral:rRNA from 1 species